rnacentral:rRNA from 1 species
CGGACGGGUGAGUAACGCGUGAGAAUCUGGCUUCGGGUUCGGGACAACAGUGGGAAACUGCUGCUAAUACCGGAUGUGCCUAAAGGUAAAAGAUUAAUUGCCCGAAGAUGAGCUCGCGUCCGAUUAGCUAGUUGGUAAGGUAAAAGCGUACCAAGGCGACGAUCGGUGGCUGGUCUGAGAGGACGAUCAGCCACACUGGGACUGAGACACGGCCCAGACUCCUACGGGAGGCAGCAGUGGGGAAUUUUCCGCAAUGGGCGAAAGCCUGACGGAGCAAGACCGCGUGGGGGAGGAAGGUUCUUGGAUUGUAAACCCCUUUUCUCAGGGAAGAACACAAUGACGGUACCUGAGGAAUCAGCCUCGGCUAACUCCGUGCCAGCAGCCGCGGUAAUACGGAGGAGGCAAGCGUUAUCCGGAAUUAUUGGGCGUAAAGCGUCCGCAGGUGGCUUAUCAAGUCUGCUGUCAAAGAGUGGGGCUUAACCCCAUAAAGGCAGUGGAAACUGGGAAGCUAGAGUGCCGUAGGGGUAGAGGGAAUUCCCGGUGUAGCGGUGAAGUGCGUAGAGAUCGGGAAGAACAUCGGUGGCGAAAGCGCUCUACUGGACGGCAACUGACACUCAGGGACGAAAGCUAGGGGAGCGAAUGGGAUUAGAUACCCCAGUAGUC